AGACAAAAAUGACUUAGGGGAAGGGGAGCUAAUUAACUGGGUCUGAGCCAAUGCCCCCAAAACAGACCUGAAGGGCCACUCAGACAAUGUCCUCUCCAAGACACUACAUGGGGUGGCAGGAACCACGUCAUGGCACAUGUGGGUGACUAUGCCUAGCAGGGGAGGCAUGGGGGUGAUCAGGAUGGGGUUGCCCACAGCUAGCUUCCUGCCAGGCUGCCACAUGGUUGAGAGUAGGAAGGGGACCAGAGAGGUGGCAGCAGGGGCAAACAGAAGGACAGAGAUUUAGGGCCCCUAGAAGGAAGUGGCCAGGACUAAGCCAUUCCAAGCCCAGGGACACCUCACUGCAUGUGCACUGGCCUUGCAGUCUGGUGGGUACACUCCUACACUCACCACCUCAUCCAGGAUCACUCACACCCUCAAAUUCCCUCCAAAUCCAAGAUGCUCAGUUCCCAACGGCCUACUGAGUCUGACCCCAGUGACCGCUUGGUCUCAGGACCGACAUGACCCAGACUACCAGCAAGAAAUGAUGUCCUAACACCUCCCAGUGCACCAACAUCUUUCAUAGCCACAAACUCCUUGACUCCACAGCCACCCCCCCUUCCUCCAGCUCCAAAUACUCUUUGUCUUGUUCCCUCCCCCAGACUCAUCUCCACCCCCUGCCACAGGGGGAAGCCCCAAGUCUCCAAGCCACCCCGACUCCAACCUGGGGCUUCCCCGGUGCAGCCUCCCCAUCAAGUACAAGGCCCUGGAGGGGUUUGGGGCUUGAGCCUGUUUCCCAGCAAGACCUGGUGUCCUUACUGAACAGUUCCCCAGAACAACCCUGCCCUGUGACCACUGGAGCCAGGGAAGAGGACAAGAGACAUCCCUGAAUCUCCUAACCAGGAAACUAGAGGAGGGAUGGUGGUCAGGAGCAGAAGAAAGGGCUGGAGGGACCACUUGGAACUGAGAACUGUGUGACCUCCAACAAGUAUCUUUCUUUCUCCGAAUCUUUAUAUUCUCAUCUGCAAAAGAGUUCAAGAGUAGGUAGAACUACCUCAUAUACACCUCCUCUCCUCUUCCUCCAAAGACCUCUUCAGCUCGAGUGGAUCGGAGGAACUCUGGCCCAACCCAACCCACUCAGCAACACCCUCCAAAAGGGAUCUUGGAAGAUCCAAGAGCCGAGUAGGGGGCGCCCAGGAGCACCCCUGCAGGCUAAAAGAUUCUCAGGCUCAGUUUCCCUCUCCCGGCCCAGGCUGGAGGACCCCGCAAAGCUUGCAUUCCUGUUCCAGCAGGGCAGGACCUGAACCACUCUCCAUCUGCAGAGACUCCAGUCCGCACAAAGCCAGAGCCCCCUCGCAUUCUGCUCCGUUUGCGAGGAUCAUGUCUCCACCUCUAGUAGCCAAAAGCGGGGGUGGGAGACGGGGACAAGAGCAGAAUUAUCAGGGAACACGCCCCGCUCCCCGUUCCGGGUCAGAGAAGUGGCCAAAAGUGUCCCCACAGGACUUCCCACCGGAAGGGGAAGUGCCACAUUCCCAGGCCUCCACCCAGUGGGGAGACUCGCAGCCUGACCCAGCUGGCAGAUCUCUCAAACCCACCGGCCCGACGCCCCCCGACGAGGAACCAGAGGCCAGAACAGACACCGGGUUUUGUCCACGCUCAAACCGGUUGCCCCGCGGGGUCUAGAACUGAGUUCAGAGGAAGGCGCCAAGCCUCAAACACAACGAGGUGGGGAGGCCACUCCGUUUUGGGCAGGAUCCUACUGUGGACACAGAACAGACAGCAGCUGCCCACAGUGUGGAAACAAACUGUAAAGCAGUCACGUCUCUUAAGGCUGCAGCAUCCAAUAAAAUGUAAUUUAAAUCAA